rnacentral:rRNA from 1 species
UACGUAGGCAGCAAGCGUUGUUCGGAGUUACUGGGCGUAAAGGGUGCGUAGGCGGCUUUUUAAGUUUGGUGUGAAAUCUCCCGGCUCAACUGGGAGGGUGCGCCGAAUACUGAGAGGCUAGAGUGCGGGAGAGGAAAGUGGAAUUCCUGGUGUAGCGGUGAAAUGCGUAGAUAUCUGGAGGAACACCGGUGGCGAAGGCGGCAUCCUGGACCGACACUGACGCUGAGGCGCGAAAGCUAGGGGAGCAAACGGG